rnacentral:lncRNA from 1 species
AUCGCCAGAGUUACAAAUUAAGCAUUUUCUAUUUUCUCUUGCAACAUUUUGCCAUCUACCAGUCUCAAUAGGACAUCUAAAUUUUGUCCCAAGGUAUUUCAUGAUUUCGGGAACAAAAUAUAAUAAAAAAUGUGGGUUACCGACUUCGUUUUGUCAACCUCAGUUUAAUAUAAACAUUGAUUGUUUGUUAUUUCAAAAUUUAAAUAAUCCAUCAAUACCGAACCUACAACCAUAAUUCUUUUUCUCAUGUUAAACAGUAGAUUUCAGUCAAUCAAUUAAAGAGUUUAGAGCUUAUGUUCCUAUGUGCCUUGAUUUUUAUAAGUAUGUUUAUUUCAUUCCAGUCAAAAAUAAUAUGU